CAGGCAGUUCUCCGAAGUUAGCUUAACGAAAAUCGAAUACGAGCCAAGGGAUGAUGGAGAAAAACAGAGAAGAGGUGAGGGAGUUGCAGGUAAGAGAAUAAUUAGUAUGACGAGUCUGAACUUACUGAUUACUUUCUCCCGAUUUAAGAGUAAAGCGAGAGUUUGAUUCUGUGUUUGAUCGCAGCGUACGAAGACAAUGGUUUGAUUACUUAGUUAAAUAUAUGUGUUCGGAAUUCUUCGAGAAUAAAGAAAAGACUAAAAAGAAACAUGUAAUAAUCAACUGAAAUAUGAAAAAAAAAAUGACAUUACAACGAAAUCGUUUACUGUGAAAAGAAGAUUUCUUAUUUAGCAUGUCUUUUUUAUUUGAGCUACAUUAUUUGAGCAGACAUAGAAGUCGAUGAUCGAAAAAGUAAAACGUGCCGAACAACACACUAGGCAGAGGAGCAAGAUCGGCCUUCGUCUUCCAAAGAAGACUUGAGCUCGAUUUGCUGAGGUACAUCUCCUUUGACGCUCUUGCUAUAUCCACUUAAACUAUCAUAGUACCUUGACCAAAUCAUUAUUCCUCCAUAGUUGGGAGACGUCUUUACGUGGGGAAAAAUUUGAUUAAUCAAAAUAUCUGUGGGAAUGAAACCACUCGUCGCUGCAUCAGCUGAUGCCGGUAAUUCUAAAAACAUAGUGCUUGAAGGUACCGAUGAAGUCCACUUGGUCCAGGCACUGGUAAGGCUUUGGAUAUUACCAACAGCAUACUCACAUGCAGGAUUGUUGUAAAACUUGAUCCAGAUAAAAUCAAAAAGGCCGGUUGAAAUCGCAGUUCCCAUAUAACUGUCGGGAAAUGUACAACGAGGCGUCGCUGAUAAAUACACCUUUGUCCCUUGUUUGC
rnacentral:lncRNA from 1 species